CACAGAUACGCCCACUUGCAGCACAGUCUGCCUGCCCUGCCUUCCCCUCCCAUGCCUUCCAGGGGAAUUUGCAAUUUUCCCCACACAUGUAAAUUUCAGUCAUUAAGGAACACAGAGGGAGCGUGACAUUGAAGAAAUUAAUCUCUCUGUGCCCCCUGUGUUUCUCAGGGUCCUGCUUCCUCCCUGUGAUCCACUUCACGUGGAGAUGGUGCCAACCCAAUGACCUGCUGCCCGGGGCGCAGCUCCCACUCAGGAAGAUUUAUCCCCUGCGCCUGGAGGAGGCACAAGCACAACCUGCUCUGAGGAAAGCGGGGGAAGGAUAACAAGGAUAACAAGGAAAUACAAUUCUCAUUCAGAUGCCGCUCAGAAAUGGAUCUCCGAAACCGAGGGAUGGGAUGAUGCUCAGGAAUCCAGAAAGAUGAUUUUGAAAGAGACCGGUGAGGGAAUGGUAAACUCCAGGCUGAGGAUCCCCGCAAACUGCAUCUCAGAGAGCGCAACAGACUUAAAGAGAUUUUUCUCCCUCCCAGGAUUUCUGGAAUAAUGUGGCUCCAUGCAAUCUUCCCCCGUGUCCAGCCCAAGCAAAAGCAGAGCUGACCCUCAUGGUCCCUGGCAUGAUCCACAAGGAAGGAGGUGCCAGCAGCAGUAACGGGGUGCACUCUGAAGGGGUCCUCAAAAUCCACAGGCAUGCAGUGUUGGCUCAGAGGAAUUCUGCUUGUAGUCUUCUCUGUCUUUGCCCAAACUGCCCCUCUGUGGUUACAUUUCUGGGUCUCAGUAAUCCCCCUGGGCUUCACCCUUUAUGAUUACAUUUUUGUCUCCAAGUUGAAGCCGUCCCCAGCAGCACUCACUGUGUUUCCCUUGAGCUAUGGAGAACUGGGUUCCUAUCUCAUGUCAUUCCUUCUCUGAGAAGCAAGCUCCUGGAGGUAAAAGGGUUUGUUUGUUGUUAUUAUUAGACAUGCAUAUGAGUGGCAAGGCAACCGUGAUUCGUCGGAGUUCUAGCCCUGGCUUGGACACCAACUUCUUUUGGUCUUUUGUUCCUCGAGAAUAAAAUGCGGAGGGUGGGGAUAUAACUCAGCAGCAAAGCACCUGCCUGGUAACCACAAUCCCAGGUACCAAAAGAAGACGAGGAAGAGGAAGAGGAAGAGAAGGAAGCAGAAGCAGAAGCAGAAGCAGAAACAGAAGCAGAAGCAAGAGAAGGAGAAGGAGAAGGAGAAGAAGCAGAAGAAGAAGAAGAAAAAGAAGCAGAAGCAGAAGCAGAAGCAGAAGCCAGCAAGCAAAUAAGCAAGCAAGAAAGAAAUAGAAUAAACUGAAUACAGCGCAGAACCCUCAGUUCCAUUCAGGCUCCCCAUCUUAUGAUUUUGAAAGUGUUGUGGGGUAUUUAUUUCUAUCCUGUUUGUCUUACUAUCUGCUUAUAUUUCAGAUGUUUUUCUGUUGUCACUCAACUAUCCAUCCAUCCAACCAUCCAUUCAUCCAUCCACACCUCCCUCCCUUCUCUCCCUCCUCCUAUGGGUGAACUGGCAGCAGAGCGGCAGAGAGGCCUAAUCUCAUGGCCCCCAGAGAACCAGUGGCCAAGCCCAGACUGAGCCCCCACCUCCUCCCGUGCACGCUGGGGUCUCUGAGGUCCACCGCCUGCAUCCUCAAGCUGCUCGCCUCUCCCCACCCCCACUGCAGCAGCACACUCGGCAAGUCAUUUAUUCCUCCAUAACAUUUGCUCGAAGGAACGUUACCGCUGAAUUAUAGCCGGCACCAUUAUCUCACAAUAACUGUCUGGGAAAUGUUAAUGUUAAUGCAUGGAUCAUGCAGAAUGCCACAUUAGGGGUUUUAUGGUGGACAUAACAUUUUUAUGAACUUUUUCUGUGGUAGCACCAGGCUUUGAUGGAAAGAACAGGAAAAAAGAAAGAAAGUAUGGGGAGGAAGAAAGAAAAUCCAGCACAGGGGAAGCGGCCUGGGAGCAGAAGUGGCAUUUGAUGGCCCCGAAGGCUGAGUCACGGAGCAGUAGCUCCCUGGGGGCAGGCCCGCCCGGCAGCGGGCCAGAGAGUUGAAUAUCUUUAGCAUUAGCUAUUUGUGAGUUGGGGAGCAACUGGCCAAAUUGGCAACCGGUGGGAGACAGGGUCUGCAGGGGCAGACCCAUAAAACUUUUCAGCCUCUGCAGCCACCUGUCACUGGGCCAGCACUUGGUGCCAGUGGGGUCUGACAGGGAGGAGGAAAGGGGUGUGAGAGGCUUGGUCGGGUGGCAGCCACACCUGUGGGUGAGAGGAGAGGCCCUGGCAGAGCUGCAGAGGGGCUCACCUUGGGAACCGAUGGCUAAUGGCUUAAGGAGAUUUUAAUUUCUGCCAUUAAAGCAAAAAAAGGAAAAACACAAUCUCGGGAAUGGCAGGAUUUUACACCUGGCUUUUAAAUAGGACCAAUAAAGGCAGUGUUUAGCA